CGGGGGCAAGUGGAGGACACAGACUCGUGACGCACAGCAUAGACAGGAGCCUGGACAGCUCGGGGGCGGUGGGCGGGGGGUCUCAGUGGAGUGGGAAAGAGGGAUUUCCGGAAGUGUCUCUUGUGUGACAGGAGAUAAGUGGGCUCCAACUGAGGAAUUUACAAUCAGCCUCCUGAUUGCUCUCAGAAAUGGAAGUAACAAUAGGAUAAGGGAGGCACUACAUGUGCGCAGAAAGGCUCCUUGGAGUCAGAAGUCUGAGGAUAAUUCCAGGCCAUAAUGAGUCUUGCUCCUCCCAGAAGCCUUCACUUCCAGAUCCAUCUUGGCUGAUGGGUGCGUGCGCACCCCAGGGGAGGGUCCUAAGACAAAUUAACCGUGGGGGGGUAGGGGGGAGGACAAAGCAAGAUGACUGACCUGAGGGAAGACAGAGAUCUGGAAAACUGCCCCCUUAUAAAUGAUUUAAACUUUUCAAAGGCUCAACUCUCUGAACUUGCCCGAGUGCCUUUC